rnacentral:lncRNA from 1 species
AAAAAGAGUUGAUAUAAGAAACUUUACUUUGUUUCUUUAUUUCUUUUUAUUUUGACAUUAAAAUAUAUAUAUAUAGGACCUAAAUGUUUAGUAUGAAACCUUAGGAAAAGGUGGAAACCUAAGGAUGAAAAUCUAAACUAGUAGGAGGCUAAUUGGGAGGGAUGAAAGCAAGGCAUGGUAGGAUGAAGGCAAAGAAUGG